AAAAAAAAUCUAAAUCCAAAAUUCCUAAUCAAUGUUUUUAAAGGACCUCUUUAACUAGAUAGGCUAUGUUUAGGACUAUUUUAUUAUAAACUUUUUCUAAAAUGGUAUUUUUGAACUGUGUUGAUAAUUUUUGGAAUCUUAAAUGCUUUUGACAUAGUCUAAUUCUAUUUCUUAACACAUAAUAGGAAUUCAUCAAACCAGAUUUGUUUUAGAAUCUGAGGAAAUCAUGCUUUCUAGCCUUUCCAUUCUGUAGAUUGCUUAGCAUAUUGGUUAGUUCUGAUAGGGAUUACUCCUUAAAAGCAGCCUGGGGGUUCUAUAGGCAGUCUGUUUUUAAGUAUGUUGAAUUGUUUAAGGAAAGGUCUGAUAUAAGCAUGGCUUAUUUAAAUAAAAAUUGACUUGGAGUUUCACCUUCAGGUAGCACUAUAAAUUUGAACUCCUUAAGAUGUUUUUCAUGCUCUAAAAUUCUAAUCCCUAAGGUAAAUAUCUAAGAUGCUAGGAACAAUUUAAAUAUAAUUUUACUGUACCUGCGUUUCUGUUAAGCAGAUCAUAGAUCGUAGAGCUUUAGGAUAACUUCUUUGUUCCUCUUAAAACCCUGAGGGGUGGAGUGGGGGAUGUGUAAGUGAGCAGUGUGCCUAAUCUUCCUUCCUCUCUCUCAAGUGAUCACUCAGUUUUUGAAUUGCUAUUGGUUGUAAUAGGGCCGAGAUAACAGCUACUUGCAUUUGUAUUCAUUUUGGUUCACAUUUAUGAGCAGGUUUGCCACUAUGUUUGUGGCACCUUUCCCUGUGAAACUUUUGUUAAUAGGAUAUUCCUCUUCACUUAUCUUUAAAAUGAAUAAAUGAGAGAAAUACAAGUCCUUGGAGAUAGAAUUUAUGGUAAAAAAACAAAAAACCCAGUUCUUCAUGAUAGUCAGUAUCUGUCAUAUAGCUGAACAUGAAGCACAUUUGAGCUUCUGGGUAAAGAACGUGAUGCCAAGAAUCAUAGGGAUGAAAAGAUGAAGCAAACGCAGCGCUCACUUUCCAUGAGCGUUUGGGGCGGCCAGUGUCUCCAUCCAUAGAGCCUCGAAUGAACCUCUAUUGUGGCGGUUACGAUGCCUUGCAGUUUGCUUGAAAUGCUUUUGCCUGGCAUGAGUCUAUACGUUCCUUACGUAUAAAAUCUGUAUUGCUUAGUACAGGGCUUGGUGGGUACUCAGUGAGUAUUUGUUACAAGAAUGAAAAGCUGCGUUUCUCAAAUGGGGCAUAAAUCAGAAUCGCAUGUGGAGCCUUUUUAAAAAAAAUUCGAUAACUCAGUAGUUCUCACCCUCAGUCUCCAGGAUUGGGACUUGGGUAUGUGUAUAUUAAUGUAUAUUUUUAACAUUUUAUUAUGGAAGAUUUCAAAGAUAUAAAAGAAUAAACAGAAUAGUAAAGUGAACCCCUUGUAUGCAUCACCCAGUUUAAAUGGCAUCAACAUUUAGCUGAUUUUAUUUCACCUAUCCUCCCAACAUUUCUUUUGCCUGGAGUAUUUAAAAAAAACAAAUGUAUUUUAAUAGGAAAUUUCAAACGUGCGUAAGAGUAGAAUGGUAUAAUGAGCCUGUAUGUACCUAUUGCCCUUGGUGUAGUGUAUUAAAGCAAAUUCCAGACACUAUGUCACUUUACUACUAAAUAGGGCAUAUCUAUAUUUUUGUAACCUCUGUAGGAGAUUCUGAUGCACUGUCCUGCUUUAGAUAAUAUAAACAUAGGGGAAAAUAGUAUCACAGCCAAAGGGCUAUGGGAUUCAGAGGCAUGAACAAUUUCAUUUGGUUUAGUGGAUCUGAGGUGUAAGGGAGGAAAUUUAUCUUUUCCUCGCCUAUCACUAGAUUCAUGGCUGAGGUCUCUCUAACAGAAGACCAACUAUCAAGAGAAAUUUCAACAUAGAAAUUUAUUUAGUAAGUUUUACUUGACACAGGAGCCUUCAUAAAACAUACCUGUGUAUGUUUUCUGUUAGUUAUGAUAUGGAAGAGGAUAGUAAUGGAGAAGCAUAAUUAGAUAAAACAGUAUGAUCUAAUAAUAAACUGGGAAGAACUUAGCAAGGCCUGUUUGCUCAGAUUUUUCUCUGUGACCCUUCAUAUUCAGACUUAAGGAUGUUGUUUUCCUCUGUGUAUAGAGAGGGCACCUCUUAAAUGAGGGUCUUAUGACCUGCAUCAGCGGAAGGUCAGAAAAUCUUUCCUAGGUUUUAUGACCUGCUUCAGGAGAGAAGGUCAAGAUACAAAAGAUAUCCAAAAUUGUAAAGAGUUCCUUUUUGCCCCUUCCUAGUCAAAGAAGGGGUAAGUGCUAUUCUGACUUACUUAACAAAAAAUAACCUUGAACUGGUAGGAUUUUUUUUGACGGUAGGAUUUUUUUUGACGGGAAGAAGUAAGGAAAAGAGCAAUACGGAUGUUUAAAAAUGAGAAGGUGAGAAUCUUAUAGAUGAGUAGGUGUCUGGUACAGAAGUCUUAGUGGAGAGUUGGUACUGGAAUCCUGGUCUAAGGUAUUAGGUUUUAAUUUGCUAGACAAAGAGAACUCAAGCAGUGCUGUCUAGGAGUGUUAUGUAAGCUAGAUUGGACUUUAGAGUCCGGAGACCAUGCGGGAAGAUACUGUGUGAUAAGGGCCUGAAACAUGUUGGUUACAGUGAGACUAGAAAUGGGAUAAAUCCAGAGCUGUUUCACCAGUAGACUUGCCUGAAUAUCCUGUCUGACUGAGUAUGGAUCAGAAAGAAAAGAAGGGGUGAUGGGAAACGAGCCUAGAUUGACUAGAGAAACCUAGAAAUAGAAAAAUCGGGAAGGCAAAGUGAUUUGAAUGAUAAUGCCAUAUAUUCAGUUGUCCCUGGUGGCCAGAUAUUAUAGUAUAGAUAUUAUACAGGCAAAGAAGAACAGAGGGAUAGAGUGUGAAGGUACAGAUUUUGAGUUUAAGCACAUUAGGGGGCUUAGUGUUCUGGAUGAAGAAAACCUAUAAAAGUUAUUGUAUGCUAGGUAUUGUUUGCAAAAAAGUAGAAAAUGGAGAAAUAACCCAGUGGGUUAAAGAAGAAACAGACUAAAUAAACAAACCUGAGUAAGUUGUUCCUAAAUUUUAUUUUAGAGACAAUUCCUUAUUUUGCUUUAGUUUUCUCAAUUAUUGGCUCACUUUUCUGUUUCUUUCUGUGUCAGCAUACAUGGAAAAAGGAGUUAAUUUUAGAUUCAAAACAAAAACUGGAAAAAAAAAGUCUGAAAUGGGUAAUACCUAGGACCUAGUAUAUAUGUGUUAUUAAGGCUCUAUCCCUGAAUUUUUAAUGCAGUUAUCUAUUUUUCAUGGAUUCUUUGUUUAUUCCCCAUAAGGAACACCUGGGUUUGGAGAGUGGGAAGGUAGAUGAGAAAACCCAAGUGACAAAUAAUGUUUAGUUUAUUAUUAGAACCAACUAUGAGUUGUGACCCUUAUCUUCUGCACUGGGAAUUACAGAUUUUUUUCAGGGUUUUUCUAACGUGAAAAGAGUUUAUUGGUGUAGGAAAACAUCUGGUUCCAAAAUAUAGAUCAUCCUUAUUGAGCCCCAUGAUGCGUUAUCUUAAUUUUUAAAGCCUUUUUUGUCUCAUACUGGAGUUUAUUGUACCCCUUAAAAAUAUUAAGUCACAUAUUUAACCUGAUAAAAGCAAAAAUCAUUAUAAAAAUCUUUAGGCUGGGUGUGGUGGCUUAUGCUUGUAAUCCUAGCGCUUUGACAGGCCAAGGUGGGUGGAUUGCUUAAAACCCAGGAGUUGUAGACCAGCCUGGGCAACAUGGUGAAACCCCAUUUCUGCAAAAAAUACAAAAAAUUAGCCAGGCAUGGUGGCAUGUACCUGUAAUCCUAGCUACUCGAGAGGCUGAAGUGGGAGGAUUGCUUUAGCUUGGGAGUUCAAAGCUGCAGUAAGCCAUGAUUGUGCCACUCUACUCCAGCCUGGGCAACAGAGUGAGACCCCAUCUCAAAAAAAUUUAUUAAGUUAAAAUCUUUAACAAUAAAGCCAUUUGGAGUCGUAUUUUGCGACAUUCUCAAUAUAGUUUUCCAACUUGCAUUAAAAUACAUUUUAAACAUUUUUGAAGACUAAAUUUAUUUUUUUUUAACUGACAGUUAUGUUUCAUUUGACAACCUUUUGCUGUAUAUUUUUAUGUGGACUUUUAGGUAUUGUAGUGAUUCCUUUAAUGAAGAAAUAAAAUAAUUGUCAUUUAAAAAUGCAUAUUAUUAUUACCUUAUGCUAUAAAAAUAGUUUUAAAAUAGAGUAUGUUUAUUAAGAUUUAAAAAUAAGUAUAGUCAUGCACCGCAUAACAGCGUUUUAGUCAGACUGCAUAAGAUUACGAUGGAGCUGAAAAAUUACUGUCACGCAAAUACUUACCAUUGCGUUAUUAUUUCCAUACACUGUUCAGUACAGUAACAUAUAUGCUGUACAGGUUUGUAGCCUAGGAGCAACAGGCUAUACAGCAUAGCUUAGGUGUGUAGUAGGUUAUACCAUCUAGGUUUGUGUAAGUGCACUAUCAUGUUUGUAUAACAACAAAAUUGCCCAACAGCUCAUUUCUCUUUAUGUAUCCAUGACUGUAUAUUUUUUAUUGUGGUAAAAAACACUUAACAUGAGACCUACCUUCUUCCACAAAUUUUUAAGGGUACAAUAUAGUAUUGUUAACUGUCUGUACAUUGUUACAUAGCAGACCUCUGGACCUUUUCAUCUUGCAUGACUGAAAUUAUCCCCAUUGAACAGCCCCCCCCAAUUUUCGUCUCCCUCUCACCCCUGGUAACCACCGUUUUACUUUCUGAUUUGAUGAGUUUCACUGUUUUAGACACCUGAUAUUAGUGGAUUCAUGCAAUAUUUGUCCUUCUGUGACUGGCUUAUUUCACUUAGUGUAAUGUCCUCAAGAUUCAUCCAUGUUGUAGUAUAUGACGGGAUUUUUUUUAAGGAUACAUAAUAUUUGGUUGUAUGUAUAUUACCACAUUUAUUUUAUCCAUUCAACUGUCCUGGACAUUUAGGUGGUUGUUAGUGUCUUGACUGCUGUGACAAAAUAAGUACUUUUAAAAGUCUCACAUUUGCAAGUUCAAUUUGAACCUUUUUUUAGUCUGCUUGUACUUCUCUUAUCAAGCAAGAAAGCACUUUUCUGCUUUUCCUAUUACUAGUAACAGUGGAGAUUAAAUAUCUCAUGUUUUUGGGCAUUCUAGAGCCCAACACAUCACCUGUUCCUUUCCAUACUACCACAACUGACACUCUCUGGAAAGUGCCACCUCCCUGCAGCAGGCCAACCAGUACAAAAAUAGUACAUUAAACCAGCAAAGCUAAGAACCCUCAAAGAGUACAUUUCACCCUCCUACCGCCUCCACUGGAACAGGUGCUGGUAUCCACAGCUGAGAGACCCACAGAUGGUUCACAUCUCCCGACUCUGUGCAGACUACCCCCCAGUACCAGCCUGGAGCCUGGUAGACUUGCUGGGUGGCUAGAUCCAGAAGAGAGAUAGCAAUCACUACAGCUCAGCUCUCAGGAAGCCACAUCCAUAGGAAAAGGGAGAGAGUACUACAUCAAGGGAACACCCCGUAGGACGAAAGAAUCUGAACAACAACCUUCAGCCCUAGACCUUCUCUCUGACAGAGCCUACCCAAAUGAGAAGGAACCAGAAAACCGACCCUGGUAGUAUGACAAAACAAGGUUCUUUAACACCCCCCAAAAAAUCCCACUAGCUCACCAGCAAUGGAUCCAAACUAAGAAGAAAUCCCUGACUUACUUGAAAAAGAAUUCACUAGGUUGGUUAUUAAGCUAAGGCACCAGAGAAAGGUGAAGCCCAAUGUAAAGAUAUA